GUGCGUUGAGUACAAAGCCAACUAUUCUUUCGCCUUUUACUAAACAAUACCGUGUGCUCUCCACGCCUAUCUUUGGAGUGAUCUCACUCUAUAGUGGGAC
rfam:Arabis alpina cultivar Pajares Aa.chr2_contig_2338, whole genome shotgun sequence.